UUUUCUCCGAUGAAAUGGAAUUAGUCACUGCAUUAUGGAAGGAUGCACCGCUUUAUAGGAAAUGUUAAUUAUGAUUAUGCUUUAACUGGUGUACAUUUUGUUACUGAAGUUUGUGUUCUAAGCAAUAUUAAAAAUAAGCAGUUGGAGAACCAAAAAAAAAGGGGUAAAUACGACUCCAGAGAAGAUUUCCUCAUGAAAAGUUCAGCGCAUUUGAGUCCUUUAGUCCUCCAAUUUCAACUUGCAAGUUCAAAACCUGACCUGCUGGUUUAUUUGAAUUUUUUUUACAAUCUCGCGUUACAUAUCAGGUGCCAUAACCAGGUUAGUGCCAUUCAAUUUCCUGCAUUUAUGUUUAACUGUAGCAGCAUACACUAAUGCUAAUGACUUGACAGCGGUCUGAGAUAUUGCUAGAUUAUGGUAUGUGAGCAUAUUUAUAGAAUAAUAAAUUAUUGAAUAGAUACAUACUGAGAAAGUAUCAUGGGAAGGAGUCAAGGACAAUUCCACACCACCCUAUAUUAUGUGGAAUAUUUUUUUUCCUGAAGGAACACGAAACUGAAAUCCUCAGUGGCCAAUUUGUUUUGAUCUUGACUUGAUGUUCAUGGUUUGGGAGUUUGAUGCAUUAAGUAGAAGCAAUGCACUUGGAGAAGAUGAGAGGAUUUAGCUGGCGUCUUGUUAAAAAUAUAACUGUUAUCUAGUAUUCAGCAAUCAGUACCAUUUUUGCAAGGCUGUUAUUAUACCAAGUGUUCCAUAUGCUCUACAUAGUACAUAAGGACAUGGGGUCUACAAUACUAAUACGUCAAAGAUUAGGCCAUGAAAGAAUCUAAUGCAAGGAGGCACUUAAGUUUAUCUUAAAAUCUGUAUGCUGGGGAUUAAGCUUAAGGAAGCAUUUAAGCAGAAACAACCCUAGAAUUAUUAGUAUAUUAACUAAAAAUACUAAAUUCUUGUCAGGUGUAACACAUAUUCUACUAAGUUAUGGGACCCAAUAGAUGACUUUCAGAACUUGCAUAUCCAGUAUUAUAAUCUUAAAAUUGUUGUGCUCCUCUAGUAUUGCCUAAAAUUACCGUGCUCCUCUAGUAUUGCCUAUUGAGUCCAAUCUGUACUGCCUUUCGGUGAAGGUUGUCAUUAUCCUGCUUUAUACAGUGCACAAAAGAAAAAGAUCUGGUAUGUGGAAAUGAUAUUAUCAUGUCUAUCAGGUAUUACCUUUCAUUUCCAUUUACUGCCUUUCGGUGAAGGUUACCGUUACACUGGUUCGUGUUCGGCCUGUCAUUGUGUGGUAUUCUAGCUGAUAGUUGUUAAUUGGUCACUUCUCUCUGUCUUAUUUUCAGAUCUUUCCAAGAGAAAUGAAGAUUUUCUUAUUGUUAGCUGGAAAAGUCAUUGUCCCCUGCUAUACUAUCUUAUACCUUUUUUUUGCUGGCUAAACAGAAUCACGUAUUUGAUCUUCGCAGAUAUAGAUCAACAAUGAAAGACCAAUUCCAUGCCGAUUACACUAGUAAAGGAAGAUAGUUCUGUUAUAUGUUACAUUGCUACCAAAAGUUGAGGGGAUCGACUGGCAAAUUGACAGAGACGCAAUGACUGAAUGACAGCGAAACAGAUCAUGAAUAUAUACCGGGUGGCUGCAUUUCAGCAUCAUCUCUCUCCACGGCUCCACAUGGGCUUGGCUGCGGCACCUCUACACAUAUUAUCCGAUUCCCAAGGCCAUUCAUUGAUGUUCAUCUCUGGACACAGAAAAGGAUGAGCAAUGCCUUGUGGCAGGACCCACGGUGAAUCAGCUUCAGAGACAAGAUCGGAAAGGCAGCCAUGGCAUGCUGCCAUUCUCUGUACUCCGAACCAAACCAUGCAUGAACAGCACGGGCCACCAUCGCUGGCACAGAGAUUGGCUGCGUAAGUGAUUGUGGACAUGUGAUGUGUGCGGACGCGGCAAGUUGCACCAACGCAUGGUGGGGUUCAGUGUUUGCAUAUGAGCCGUCUAAAGGAACAGGCCGGCAAAUGGCACUGGCCGUUUGCCAUGUGAGCUAACUGUUAUCGGGCAAGGAGAAGCCGGCUGCAGGACGACGGCGGUUUUCCGGUGAACUGUGGGCCGGUACACAUGCAUGCGUAUGGAACUGCUGAUGCUAUGCACAAAAGGUCACAGGAUUUUCGGGGCUGCAUGCAGGAAAACGAUAUGAGAUAAUGAAUGUCGUGGCCAAGGCUCACAUGAUAACGGUGAUCCUUGUCCUUGCCCUCCCACAGCCGCAUGAGAGGCUGCUGCAUUAUCAUCGCUAUCCGGUACCGGAAAUUUAUGAGGCACUGUCACUUGCUGAACAGGCUGGCAAGUCCAUUUCCGUCGGGGAAAAAACAAAUGAAAAAUCAUGGUAUUUCCUCCCUUACAUUAUUACAUAUGCCAGGUAAACAAAUUAGCAAAUAGUGCACACUGCAUUCGCAUGAUCAUCCAUGUCAGAUAUACUGAAUUUGUUCUGCCCCCACGAUUACAACUUAGGUUUACGGAUCUAUAGAAAUUAGUAAGUACGGUUCUAGAACAGAGAGUAGCAUUAGGAGGGUAGACACCCCUCUUGAUAACCUGCAAAAAUCCUUCAUCUGAUCAAAGAUAAGUUUCUUAUCAAGUCCGAAUUUAUUUAGUUGCUUUGUCAUCAGGGGUCCAUUUAUUUUAGUUGAUUCGGCUUGACAGUAUUCGUGCUUCCACGCACACAGGUCAAUGAGUGGGCACAUGGGAGUUGCUAGCUGCAUUACCUAACAGAUGAUCAUGCUGCUAUCUCGUCUGAUACAUUGGUUCGGUACUGUGUCAACCAUGUUUUUCUAAUGUCCCACUCCCAGCCACAUGCGCGCCGUAGACCCACAUGCCAUUUCUCUUAAGAAAA